AACGAACGCUGGCGGCAUGCCUAACACAUGCAAGUCGAACGAGACCUUCGGGUCUAGUGGCGCACGGGUGCGUAACGCGUGGGAACCUGCCCUUAGGUUCGGAAUAACGCCCCGAAAGGGGUGCUAAUACCGGAUAAUGUCUUCGGACCAAAGAUUUAUCGCCUUUGGAUGGGCCCGCGUUGGAUUGGCUAGUUGUUAGGGUAAAAGCCUACCAAGGCGACGAACCAUAGCUGGUCUGAGAGGAUGAUCAGCCACACUGGGACUGAGACACGGCCCAGACUCCUACGGGAGGCAGAAGUGGGGAAUAUUGGACAAUGCGCGAAAGACUGAUCCAGCAAUGCCGCGUGAGUGAUGAAGGCCUUAGGGUUGUAAAGCUCUUUUACCCGGGAUGAUAAUGACAGUACCGGGAGAAUAAGCCCCGGCUAACUCCGU
rnacentral:rRNA from 1 species